AUAAUGUGUAUUUCACUACAAAAUAAACUUCCAAUUCUAACAAUAUGAAAGUUGAAACCUAUAUGAAAAAAUGGAAACUCUCAGUUGUAAUUUAUCUAAAAACUCUAUUGCUAGCUUGGUACAUCAGCUUCAUGGCUUUCACAUCCUUUAUGGAUAUGGCUUCUAGAAAACAGUGAAGAUGUCCCUUGCACGUUUGUUUUCAAGAUUAUUUCUCGUAGAAACCUAUUAUAAUAUGUCCAUAUCAUCUGUCUUGUCUCCUACAUCCUGCAAUAAAACCACAUUAGCAUCAGGAAAGCGGAAGUGAAAUAUAGAGAAUUAGAUCUAGAUAAUUUUAAAUAAGAAAUAUACAUUAAUUUCACCAAGAACAGUUUAUAUCAAUAUAUGUCUUUCUUAAAUAUAGAACUAAGAUUUCUUAGGAUUUAUUGGUUAUGUUGGUCGACACUAGUAACCUCUACACUAGUGAGGAUGACAAAAAAAGAUGUUUCAGACAACUUUUAUAGAGAUAAUGCAGCUUAUCGUCAAACAGAUGACGACUAUAAUGAUGUCAACCAUAUUUUGUAGGAGAACGGUUGUGGAUUAAUUACAUACCUUGCAAUAUCCCACAUUGAUUGCUUCAUAUAAACAUGUAUUCUUUUUCGUUUGCUUAAGAUCAUCUGUUGAACAUUUCCGUAUGUUAAAUCUUUCAAUAUCUACAAACGAUAGGAAAACAUUGUCGCUUAUGAUAGUGUCAAUUAAAUGCAAAAUUGACAGAAAUCAGUGAUAUUUUGUCGUAACCCAUAUCCAUUUGACAAUAUUAUAUUAUGUAUAAAAUUGACAAGUUAAAUGUGCCGAUAGAAAAAAAUACUAUGUUGUUUGGUUAUAGCCCUCAUCAAUUUGAUAUGAUUAUAAUUCAUAUAAAACUGACGAGCUAAAUUGCUGCCAGAAAAAAAGUAAAAUAUUUUGCUUAGUUAUAGCAAACAUAAAUUUCUCAGAAUUAUAAUUUGUUGUCAUGUAGUAUAAAGGAGCGCCGAUAAACGUUGAUCACCUGAACUUACUAGUAUAAAGGGAGCCGUCGAAAGUUGCCGAUCUCGGGAGAUGGAUGAAACUUUUUUGGUUUCUUUAAGGGUUAGAUACGGCAGUUGUGUGUAACAGGGAAUACGUGGGGGUAGGGUUUUCUAACGGGUUGGGCCAAAGGAUGUGAUUGAGACGACAUCAUUUUCGUCUCAAGUCACGCCACAAAUAUAAUUCCCCUAAAAAAUGCCACAAAUAUAUUUUUUAAUUGCCAUAUUUUCUUUUUAUCUACAAGUUUGAGUCGCACCCUUGAACGCCUUAAAGAAUCGUCUCUAUGUGUCAUAUGGCGUACGAUGUUGAGACGCAGUAGAAAGCGUCUACAUACAAACGUCCUUACAAGGUCUUUUUGGUGUAGUGUUGAUCUGACAUCCAUUCACCGGUUAUGGACUAUUGG
rnacentral:lncRNA from 1 species